GACGAACGCUGGCGGCGUGCCUAAUACAUGCAAGUAGAACGCAGUUGCGAACGGGUGAGUAACGCGUAGGUAACUGCCUGGUAGCGGGGGAUAACUAUUGGAAACGAUAGCUAAUACCGCAUACUACCAGAUGGACCUGCGUUGUAUUAGCUAGUUGGUGGGGUAACGGCACACCAAGGCAACGAUACAUAGCCGACCUGAGAGGGGGGUCGGCCAAACUGGGACUGGUACACAGCCCAGGACCCUGCGGGGGGCAGCAGUAGGGGAUCUUCGGCAAUGGACGGAAGUCUGACCGAGCAACGCCGCGGGAGUGAAGAAGUUUUUCAGAUCGUAAAGCUCUGUUGUAAGGGAAGCGGUAUCUUACAAGAAAGGGACGGCUAACUACGUGCCAGCAGCCGCGGUAAUUA
rnacentral:rRNA from 1 species